rnacentral:pre_miRNA from 1 species
UUUUGGUCUGGGUUCCUAUUGUCAAGUUAAGUGAUGACAUGACAUCAUCUGAUGACUGAUAUAUAUUGGAAGAGCCGUUGAGAUGAUGUCACAUCAUCACUUAGCUGACGGUAGGGACCUAGGACAAA